UACGGCAGUGAAGUCAUUGAUGCCAUGCUUCCAGGAAAAGCCUCUAAGCUUCAGAUAGUCAGGAAUCGUACCCCAAACCGACACAGGUGGUCGGGUAGAGAAUACCAAGGCGCUUGAGAGAACUCGGGUGAAGGAACUAGGCAAAAUGGUACCGUAACUUCGGGAGAAGGUACGCUCUUGAUGGUGAAGUCCCUCGCGGAUGGAGCUGACGAGAGUCGCAGAUACCAGGUGGCUGCAACUGUUUAUUAAAAACACAGCACUGUGCAAAAUCGCAAGAUGACGUAUACGGUGUGACGCCUGCCCGGUGCCGGAAGGUUAAUUGAUGGGGUUAGCGUAAGCGAAGCUCUUGAUCGAAGCCCCGGUAAACGGCGGCCGUAACUAUAACGGUCCUAAGGUAGCGAAAUUCCUUGUCGGGUAAGUUCCGACCUGCACGAAUGGCGUAAUGAUGGCCACGCUGUCUCCACCCGAGACUCAGUGAAAUUGAAAUCGCUGUGAAGAUGCAGUGUACCCGCGGCUAGACGGAAAGACCCCGUGAACCUUUACUACAGCUUGGCACUGAACAUUGAACCUACAUGUGUAGGAUAGGUGGGAGGCUAUGAAGACGUGACGCCAGUUGCGUUGGAGCCGUCCUUGAAAUACCACCCUUGUAUGUUUGAUGUUCUAACUUAGACCCAUUAUCUGGGUUGAGGACAGUGCCUGGUGGGUAGUUUGACUGGGGCGGUCUCCUCCCAAAGAGUAACGGAGGAGCACGAAGGUGGGCUAAUCACGGUUGGACAUCGUGAGGUUAGUGCAAUGGCAUAAGCCCGCUUAACUGCGAGAAUGACGGUUCGAGCAGGUGCGAAAGCAGGUCAUAGUGAUCCGGUGGUUCUGUAUGGAAGGGCCAUCGCUCAACGGAUAAAAGGUACUCCGGGGAUAACAGGCUGAUACCGCCCAAGAGUUCAUAUCGACGGCGGUGUUUGGCACCUCGAUGUCGGCUCAUCACAUCCUGGGGCUGAAGUCGGUCCCAAGGGUAUGGCUGUUCGCCAUUUAAAGUGGUACGCGAGCUGGGUUUAGAACGUCGUGAGACAGUUCGGUCCCUAUCUGCCGUGGGCGUUGGAAGAUUGAAGGGGGCUGCUCCUAGUACGAGAGGACCGGAGUGGACGAACCUCUGGUGUUCGGGUUGUGUCGCCAGACGCAUUGCCCGGUAGCUAAGUUCGGAAUUGAUAAGCGCUGAAAGCAUCUAAGCGCGAAGCGAGCCCUGAGAUGAGUCUUCCCUGAUACUUUAAGUAUCCUAAAGGGUUGUUCGAGACUAGAACGUUGAUAGGCAGGGUGUGUAAGCGUUGUGAGGCGUUGAGCUAACCUGUACUAAUUGCCCGUGAGGCUUAACCAU
rnacentral:rRNA from 1 species